rnacentral:rRNA from 1 species
CCUACGGGUGGCAGCAGUGGGGAAUAUUGCACAAUGGGGGAACCCCUGAUGCAGCAACGCCGCGUGAAGGCAGACGGUUUUCGGAUUGUAAACUUCUAUCAAUAGGGAAGAAACAAAUGACUGUCCCUAAAUACGACGCCCCGGCUAACUACGUGCCAGCAGCCGCGGUAAUACGUAGGGGGCAAGCGUUAUCCGGAUUCACUGGUUGUAAAGGGAGAGUAGGCGGCAAGGUCAGCGAGAUGUGAAAGCCUUAAGCUUAACUUAAGGAUGGCAUAACGAACUAUCUAGCUAGAGGACAGGAGAGGAAAGCGGAAUUGCUAGUGUAGCGGUGAAAGGCGUAGAUAUUAGGAAGAACACCAGUGGCGAAGGCGGCUUUCUGGACUGAAACUGACGCUGAGGCUCGAAGGCGUGGGGAGCGAACAGGAGUAGAUACCCUGGUAGUC